UGCGUAGGCGGCGGGGUAAGUUGGAUGUGAAAUCUUGGGGCUUAACCUCAAAAUUGCAUUCAAUACUGCUUCGCUCGAGAGCUGUAGAGGAGACUGGAAUUUACGGUGUAGCAGUGAAAUGCGUAGAUAUCGUAAGGAACGCCAGUGGCGAAAGCGAGUCUCUGGGCAGCAUCUGACGCUGAGGCACGAAGGCCAGGGGAGCAAACG
rnacentral:rRNA from 1 species